UACGUAGGGGGCAAGCGUUGUCCGGAAUUAUUGGGCGUAAAGAGCGUGUAGGCGGCCAGAUAAGUCCGCUGUGAAAUCUCGAGGCUCAACUUCGAGCUGUCGGUGGAAACUAUCUGGCUAGAGUCCGGAAGAGGAGAAUGGAAUUCCUGGUGUAGCGGUGAAAUGCGCAGAUAUCAGGAAGAACACCCGUGGCGAAGGCGGCUCUCUGGUACGUGACUGACGCUGAGACGCGAAAGCGUGGGGAGCGAACAGG
rnacentral:rRNA from 1 species